rnacentral:rRNA from 1 species
GACGUAGGUGACGAACGUUAUCCGGAAUUAUUGGGCGUAAAGGGUGCGUAGAUGGCCUGAUAAGUUAGCAGUGGGAAAUCGAGGCUCAACCUCGCGGAAGCUGGUAAUACUGUCAGGCUCGAGUGCAGGAGAGGUUAACGGAACUCCAUGUGGAGCGGUAAAAUGUGUAGAUAUAUGGAAGAACACCAAUAACGGCGAAGGCAGUUAACUAUUCUGUUACUGACAUUGAGGCACGAAAGCGUGGGGAGCAAAACGG